GGUCACAGCAAUAUUGCCCUGCAGCCUCACUGAAGGCAAGCAGGGCUGAAUCUGGUCAGUACCUGGAUGGGAGACCACAUGGGAAAACAAGGUUGCUGUUGGAA
rnacentral:rRNA from 1 species